rnacentral:rRNA from 1 species
GACGAACGCUGGCGGCGUGCUUAACACAUGCAAGUCGAACGGUGAAGCGAGUGCUUGCACUCGUGGAUCAGUGGCGAACGGGUGAGUAACACGUGAGUAACCUGCCCAUCACUCUGGGAUAAGCACUGGAAACGGUGUCUAAUACUGGAUACGACCAACCCUUGCAUGGGGUGUUGGUGGAAAGAUUUAUCGGUGAUGGAUGGACUCGCGGCCUAUCAGCUUGUUGGCGGGGUAAUGGCCCACCAAGGCGACGACGGGGAGCCGGCCUGAGAGGGUGACCGGCCACACUGGGACUGAGACACGGCCCAGACUCCUACGGGAGGCAGCAGUGGGGAAUAUUGCACAAUGGGCGAAAGCCUGAUGCAGCGACGCCGCGUGAGGGAUGACGGCCUUCGGGUUGUAAACCUCUUUCAGCAGGGAAGAAGCGAAAGUGACGGUACCUGCAGAAGAAGCACCGGCUAACUACGUG